rnacentral:misc_RNA from 1 species
GCCCAGCCCUCUUGCUCUCUGAGACUCGAUUCUUCCCCUCGUUCCCUCUCUGCCUCACCUCGCUACUCGCUUACUACUCGGCUCGUCACCACCUCUCUCGGCUUGGCCUCAGUCCCUUUCUCAGCCCAAGACCCAAGUGGCAAUCACUACCUCUCGAUCUCUCCCAUCGAUUCCAUAUCUUGUUGUUCGUCAAGUCUCCAAGAGGCUGCAUUCCAAUGAUAGCUUAUAUUCAAUAUGGUAGAAAUGCCUUACGGCAUAUUAUUAAAGAAACUAGCUUUAAGAGGUCUGAUGGUGCUAUACAUCCACUUCUCUAUGCUUGCCAAGGGGCU